rfam:Dipodomys ordii contig_1140, whole genome shotgun sequence.
GGGAAGGUAGCUCAGUGGUAGAGUGCUUGCCUUGCAUGCAUGAGGCCCUGGGUUCGAUUCCUCAGCGCCA